UAAAAAUGUCAGAUUUUUCUCACCCAAAUAUAUUUUACGUAUAAUCAAUGGCAUUGGCAAUCUAAAUAAGACGUUCUGUAAAAGCGCUUUCAAGAUUGGGCUUUUCUUUCGUUUCUUACAAACUCGACUGAACAACAUUUAAAGUUUAUGUGCAUAGAGAACUGCUCACAUUUCUGGUUUGUACAUUUGUAUACAAUGAAUAUAUAAAUAUAAAUUUUGACAAUAUUAUGUUUUCAAAUUAAUAAUUUUGAAAAAAUUGUUAAAAUAAUUGUUGUAAAAAACCAGUUAAAAAGUAUCUGUCGGAUUUGCCGACAGAUGUAUACCCUCAGCCAAUGUACGAUUAUUGAAAUAUAUUUUGGCUUCUGUUAUGGUUAUUCAAAUUAAUGAAUUAAAGUAUUGAAAAUUGUGACCCUUUGUGGGAGAGGUACGAAAAGCGGUGCGCAGGUAUAUAUCAUCUUCACAACAAAUUUGGUGUUGGACAAAAUGUUUUUUAGGAGUUUUUCAAAACUUGAACCCUACGUGGGGGAGGUACCAGAAGAAAUGGUCCGAUCCCUACCAUCUUUAUAUCAGAUCUUGUGUUGAUGGAACUUUGGAGAUGUGCCAAGAAUGGAAUUGGAUGUUAAUUUCGCAUUUUCUGAGCUUCAUGGAUAUUCAAAAUUUUGUUCUUUGUGGAGAAGGAGUGGACCGAUAUAUCCCAUCUUCACAGCACAUCUUGUGUCAGUAGAAAUAAUGAGAUGUGUGAAAUAUAAAGAGAAUCGGAUGCCUAUUUCGGAUUAUAUAAUUGUCUUGGUAAUUCAAAACUUUGACCCUUUGUGGGGGAGGUACCAAAAGGAAUGGUCCGAUCUCUACCAUAUUUAUAACAGAUUUUGUGUUGAUAGAAAUAUUGAAAUGUACCAAGUAUUCAGGUUGUUGACCUUUGUGGUUGCGGUACCAGAAGGAGUGGACCGAUGUAUUCAAUCUUCACACCAGACCUUGGGUUAAUAAAAAUAUUGUAAUAUGAGUAAUUCAAGACAAUUGGAUUCUUACAUCACUGUUUAUAACAGUUAUAUAGGGGGAGGUACUUGAUGGAGUGGACCUAUUUUGUCCAUUUUUGCACCUGACCUAGCACUGAUUCAAAUAUUAGGAGUUGCACAUUUGGAGCAAAAUCGGUUUAUCAUUUCUCUUUUUGUACAGUAAAUUAUUUUGUUUAACCAUUUCGACAUUUUGUGGGGGAGGUACCAAAAGGAGUGGGCCGAUAUUGCCCAUCUCCGAACACAAUCUAAAUUUUAUAAUAAUAUUACGAUGUACCAAGUUUGGACCAAAUCGGAUCGCACCAGCCAGACAUCACUCCAAAUGUUCUGAAUCGGAUUUGGUCCAAAUAGACCUAGGGUCUUAAACCGUUAUAUCGAUAAGGCACGUUUUGGCCGUAUCAAAUGAUGGCUGAUAUGGCUGAAGGUAUAAAAUGUGAUUUCACUUAUUGGCGCCCAACAUGUAAUUUUGUUUUUAUGUUUGAUGUUUGUUAACUUUUGCAGUUGAUACUCUUGAGAGAGCAAAAUUCGUAUUUACUCUUAGUAAUUUCUUAUUGAGCAAAUGUAGCUGGAAAUGUUAACGAUCAAAACUAAUAACGAUCCUGGCGUGGGGUAUGACCCGCCCAAGACAAAUAAUUUAAGCUGACGUAUUUUGCAUUCCGCGAAAAUUAUUGGACAGUUUAAAAAUAUUUAGUACCUACAUUAUAUAACAAAGUUCAUGAAUUAUAUUUCAAUUUUCUUGUUUUAACCAGACAAGAUAUCCAAAAUAUUUACAUUCGCAGGUUUAACGUUUUGUUUUAACGAUUUUUGGCGAAUAACAUUAUUUAUACGGUUUCAGUUUUGACUAAGUAUAUGUUGCCGAAAACUAUGUAGGCGGCGCACCCCAAUAUACAGGCACUUAAAUCACAUACAUACACAUAAGUUUGAUCUCGCCGAAAACAAACGUUUCGGCUACCACCAUUCAGAUCACAUGAUAAGAAGCAAAAAACUUUAGUCUAUUUAAUUACACAUAACGGUUUGUGCGCAAAAUACAAACGAAUUUGAUGCGUUUAAGCUGCAGUGUUUGCUAU